rnacentral:lncRNA from 1 species
ACGGGACCUUAAAAACUAGGGUUUUCCGAAGCAAAACUUACCUGAAAAUGGUGUCUACGUGAUCGUGGAGUCCUCAGGGUUGCAAUGGUAGUCUUAACUUGGACGUUGGUAUAGGUUUUAGGUGGUUUUGGUGGUUGCCCGUGCGUUCGAGAAGAAGAGAGAGAGUGAGAGUUUCUGAGGAAGAGCUGAGGAAGAGAGAGAGAGAGUGACUGAGGAGAUGAGAGAGAGACAACAAACGGGAAAUGGGGAGGGAUUUAGGGUGUAGGACCCUACCUAAAGUCCAAACACAAAAUUAUUAGUCCAAGUUUAAGUUUAAUUAACAAUAACUUAGGAAUUUUAGGUAAAACCAAUACCAAAAUUACGCACCUUAAUCCCGUUUAAGGGCAUUUUCGUCUUUUCACGUCCUCGGAAUUAAAAUUCCAGGACGGGCUGUGACAAUCUUCCCUCCUUAUAGAAUUUCGUCCCCGAAAUUCCAGCAAUCAACUAAAUCAACCAUACUCCAACAAUAGCUUCGGGUAAAUCUCUCUCAUCCGUUUCUCUUUCUCCCACAUAAUUUUCUACUGAAUGAUUUCCUUCACAAAGCUUUUACCACUUACUCUGUCUUAAUUCUCAGGACCUUCUUUUCCCAAUCCAAAGUAGUCCUUGGUUCCUUAUCAAGUCGAAUCCAAUUGAAUUCUAAAUAGUUGCACCAGAAUCCCAUGUGACGAAUCUGCCACCUAGUGACAACGCAUCGAAAUAUAAUGCAUUAUGCACCUUAGCCAAUUUUGAAGGCAUCACAAACUUAUAUGCAACUUCAUUGAUUCUUUUAAUGAUCAAAACGGUCUGAUGUGUUUAAGACUUAUCUUGUCUCCUUUCCAAUUCUCGCCAUUUCUGUUCGUGGUGAAUUUUCCAAAAUAUCGAAUCAUGAAACACAUCAUGCACUUACGACAACUCUGGAAGCCAUUCAAAUUUGUAAGCAACUUCACCAACCUCUCGAUGAUCACUUAAAGUCCGAUGUACUUAGGAUUUAACUUGCCUUCCUUUCCAGACCGAAUCAUACUUUCCUAAGGUGAAAACUUCGAAAAUAUAAAAUCAUCUGUCUUAUACACUUGAUUAGUGGCAUAUCCAUCUGUUAAUCUCUUUUGCCAUUCCUGGCUACUUUCAGGUUAACUUACUCACCUGAAUAUUUUGAGGAGACUCAUCCAUAGUCUCAGGGUCUACUAAAACUCUUUCGUGAUCGAAUCUUCCUCUACCCAGAAGCAUUAGGCACAUACUUUUCGUUUGCUUGUAUUCACAUAUCAUUUGAUUCACGAAUCAUGUACUCAUUAUUUUUCCCUUCUUUCUCUACCCUGGGUUAAUUCUUAAAUUUCCUCGUCAAACAUUUAAGUUUUGAGUACGACCUUACCAAACAGGCCUAACUUGAAAUUUAACAAGUAUAACUUCUUCUCGAUCUUCCAUUCUUAAUUUUUCUUCCGUUGGUUUUCAAUCCACAAGAUGAUACUCUUGGCAAACGUGCCAGACAUUAAUCUUACUGUAGUCUUCUCACCAAGUGCUUCAGCUAGAACAAACUUUACGAUCACCCUAACAUUUGCAUCAACAUGCCUCCAAUACCAUUCAAGAAACAUCACUAAAAAUUUAUGAUUACCACUAUUCUCUGGGAAUACCAAAAUACGUGCAUGAGUGAGGAAAUACUUCAGUUGUUAAAUCCUUUGCUUACAAUUCCUUCCCACUCAUACCUAACCUCUUUUCUCAACAGUCUCGUCAAUGACAAAGCAACGACUGAAAAAUCUUUCACAACCAUCCAAGAUAGCCUGGUAAGCUAAGAAAUUCCAAAUCUCAAUUACGACUCGUGGUUGUUCCAAAUUUUAAUUUCUGUUACCUUUUAAGGAUUCACUUGAAUACCUUAAGAAUAUAUAACAUAUCCCAGAAAUGCUGCUUGAUUCAUCCAACAUUCGCAUUUGCUAAACUUAGCAUACAAUCGACAUUCUUCCAAUCUUUGUUCUACCGACUUAAUACGUUUACAUGCUCUGCUCUGGCUCAGAAUAUGCCAGAAUAUCUUCAAUGAAAAUGAUAUCAAUUAUCAAGGCAUUAUUGGAAUACUUCAUCCAUCAACUCAUAAAACCGCAUGAGUAUCCACAUAGCAUCACCAAACUUUAUAAGGACCAUAACAAGUCCAGAAACCAUCUUAUGAUCAACGUCACUUAUAAUAUUCAAUUGGUAGUAACCAGAUCUCAAUUCAAUCUUUGAAUCUUCGCAAUUACUUCUGAGCUGGUUAAAUAAACAUCAGUACAUCACCAUGGAUAACGGUUCUCAAUCGUUACCCGACUCCAUUGUCUAUAAUCAAUGAACAGUCUCAAGAUCCAUUUUCUUCCUCACCAACAAACUGGGCUCCUCAAAAGUGUUGUACUAGGUUGAAUAAAACUUUUAUCAACCAAUUCCCUCAACUGAAUUUCCAAUUCCCUUAACUCAUCAUGAACCAAUCUCCAAUAUAAAUUUAUACCUGGCAACAAAUCAAUAGUGAACCUCAUAUCUCUGCCUGAAGGCAAUCCAAGUAUACUUUCAGGGAAGACAUCAAGAAAAGUCUAACUCUUUCGACAUUAUUCACACUACUCCAAACAACAUCAUUUAGCACCACAUGAGCUAAGUAUUUUUGACAGCCUUUCGAAAACAAUCUCUUUGCUCUCACAGCAUAAAUAAUGGCUGAACUCAAUCCACUUUGCAUACUUACAAAAGUAAUCUCUGGUCAUCCAGAUCGAUGGAAAGUACUGGUUUCCCUUAACAUUCCGUCUUGUCACAAUUAUAACCAACCAAUCUAAUGGAAAUAAUUUAACCGACACAAUACAUACUCUAUUACUACUAAGCAUUCUGAAUAAGUACAAAAUAAUCUACCGGUUUACUUACUUAACGAAUCCACGAAUGAGUUAUUAAUAUUACGGUCUGCAGCCCGCAAUACUGAUAAAUCAUCGUUGUCUCGAUAAGUAGGCAACCACUCACAAAGAUAUAACAUUACUAUUUUGUCACUCAAUGCAAAAUACAUACACUCGUCUCAACUACAUUUAUUUACUACUCUCUAGGUAAUAACAUACAUAAUAAGAAAUAUAUCAGCCGAAGUCAACUAGAAUGACCAAUACGGUUGAUUCAACUCUUAUCUCAAUAAUACGUCGGCCGGAUCCACUCCGCGUGGUCGGUACGGCCGAGCCUAUAACUCACAAAUUUCGCAUGUGUCAAUCGAAUCCACUUCUCGUGGCCUGUACGGCUGAACAUAUAACUCAUCAAAUCUCUCUGUACUCACAGUCAAUCCGACCAAACUACUAAGUUUAUAACUCUUCUGAAUUGACACUAUGAUAUCAUGGAAAAUUAUUGAGUACAACUGAUUCUAGGGACGAUUCACAAUUCUGUGUCCCCUCUGUUCACAUAAACACAUUCAUUAAUUUCACACUUCCCAAAGUGUUAAUUUUUGUACCUGCAGCACAAGGUACAUUUCCUUUACUCGAGACACCUUGUCUCAAAUAUCUAGGAUUACCAGUAUAUCCAUCACUUUUAUUCUGACCAGCGACAUUAAAACCUCAGCUAGAAGAAUUAACUCUAGCUUCACUUCUUUCGAAGCUCUAAAUCUUUCUAUAUCCUUGAUAUGACGAAUCAUUAACUUUAUCGUCUUCUUUUAAUUCCCAUUCAUUUCUUAUUCUUCUUUAUUCUCGUUGCUCAUGUUCUCAGAGUCCUCAAGAUUCAACAACAUCUAGCAUACUCCUGAUAAGAACUACAAUGGAUAGUGGUCACCCAAAAUACCACUUCCCUUUUGUCACCCAGCUUAAAACAACAUAACACCUCCACCAAAUUAACAACAAUAUCUGGAUGGAACGAGGCUAGUCUGAAAACUUUCUAUAAUAUCCCUCGAUCAUCACCUUCCUUGUCUCAUAUUUGUAAACUCUUGUUUACUACCAUCGAUAAAUGCCGGAGGGAUAAACUUUUCCUUUAAACAAGUCCUUAAACAAUUCUCAAUCGACUGAUUCCUCUGGUGACAACAAUUCAUACUCCUGUUUCCACCAGGAUACAAAUUCAUAACCAAAACCAGGUAGUCGUCUCGACCCCUUGUCAGAAGGAAGAUUCCUUUGACUUGCAUAUUCCGAAACAUCUUUUCCAAUUGGUUAAUCCGUCACUUUGUUCCCUCAGGUUCAUCAUUUCUCUUAAGUGAUUCAAAUUCAACUCAUAACCCGUCUUAAAAUGUCCAUUUUUCUAAUAUACUGAAUCACCAUAAGAAUAGUUUCCCCUAACCCGCUAAAUCAGGGAGACUAAGUUCCUCUAACUACGUGGUUUGCUACGAGGCGGUGUAGUUCUGACAGAAUUCACUAGAAACUUCUCAAGAUGUCCAAGAUUGCAACCAUGCUCUGAUACCAACUGACAAACCCCAUCCCGAAGGAGGGCAUGCUGGCCGUCACGUGAGAGUGACGUAACCAUUUGCACAGUACGGAAGCUUUAAGAUACAAUUUAAAUUGAUACACCCGAAGGUGAGUCCUAAUUUUGUCCAAUCUGUCAGAACACCGUCGAAUUCCUCGUAGUCACCACACCUUUGUGAUUCCUGAACCUGGAGGGGCGCAAAACCAAAAUUGAGUGGGUCAGUAAAACAAUUCUUUUCCAAAUCCAAACAUUUCUCAAAACGUUGUAACCCCUCUCCGUAAAACCUGUAUACUUUCCCAGAAAUGUAAAAUAUAAAUAUACAUAUAUAUUCUCAAAACUUCAUUUUUACUAUCUCAACAUUAUCUCUUUAUCAAUCAUGCCAUGCCAUGUCAUCUCAACAUUUCUCAUAUUAAUUAUGCCAUGCCACAUCAUCUCAACAGUAAUAAGGUAUGAAUGCAUCAACAUAAUCAUAUCAGGUGCAAGAAAGUAAUCAACCGUAGGCCCUCUAAUAGCCCUAUACGGUUGAACCUAGAGCUCAAAAUCUAUCAUUAUCACUCUACCAGAGUCACCUCUGUGACCCGUCCGGCCUUCUGCACACAAGUUACGCUCUAGUGCUUCUCAUAAAUCAUCUGUGCACAUAAUCUAAGGUCACCCACCAGUCGGAAUCUCACUAACACUCUCGCGACUGGUCUGUCGUACCCACUCCGUGUGGACUGUACGACUAGCAUCUACUUGGAUCCAAGGCGAGCGUGCGAUGCGGUGAAUACUAUAAGCACUAAACCAUGGUGCAGGAUUUGAGCUCAAUAUAUAUCAUCAUCAUCAUAACAGUAAUUAAAUACUCAUCUGUGCGUCCACCGCACCAUUUCAUACAUAUGCAUCAUAAAUCAAUUCUUACCUGUGCGUCCACCGCACCAAUUCAUACAUAUGCAUCAUAUAUUAAUUCAUGCAUGGCAUUUCAACUCACAUUUCUAUAUACUUUUCAUAUCAAUUCUAUGCAUGGUAUUUCACUUCCCGUUUUUCCACAUAACUCAUAUGCAUUUCAUUUUAAACAUAAUUUCAUGCAUUUUCAAUUUCUGGGAAAACGUUAAGUAUAUAUAUAUAUAUACGGAAAACAAAACUGCCCACUCACCUGGAGUUCGUCCAACAACUCCCUAGCACCACACAUCAAGGCGUCACGACGAUCGCCGCCUAGAAUAGUAAUCAAAUCCAACCUCAGAAUUCAUAUCGAUAGAAUAUAUAACUUAUAUAAAAUACGUCACUACGUAGUUCGAUCCGGAAGAUCUGCCACUCAGAUUUUAAAUCCAUAACUUCCAGAGGUCCACAAUAUAUCUCUAGGAUAACAUCCUAAAAUUUCAUUACCAUCCAACGGUCGGAUCUCCGUCAAUUUCCAAAACUAAGUGACGGUUAACAUUUUAUAUAUUAUGGACUUACAAUUCCAAUUCCGGAAGAUCCGUAACUCGGAUUCCCAAUCCGUAAGUUCCAAAAUCCUCAAAUAUUACGUAUUACAACGUAUCAAAGUUUGGUGACGAUCCAACGGUCGGAUCAUCAAUUCACAUUUUCACCUAAAUGUGAAAACUAUAAAACGUUAUUUGAACACCUAACCAACAAUCUUCAAUAACUUUCUCAUACGGUGUUCAAUUUAGGUAUAUGAAUAUACCACAGUGAUCUACUCGACGUCACGGACGUCGACAUAUUUUUAAAAUAAUUUUAUUUUUAUUUUUUAUUUUUACUGUAGCACCUUCUUCUUCCUUGGGUCGCCGGACUGGUUUUUCCGGCGGCCGUUUUCUGGGCAGUUUUUCAAAUUGCCAUAACUUUGUCAUUUCUCAACGAAAUCAAGUGAUUCAAAAACUAAAGUUGUAGCCCUUGAAGAUACAAAGAGAAUGGUACCUUGCACAACACCUAGUUCGCCGUGGUUUGGCCGGAAACUUCCUCGAAAGCCUCGGAGGUCGCCGGAAACUGGGUAUUUUUCAAAUGAGUAUAACUUCUUCAAUACUCAACGAAAUUGAGUGAAACAAAAAGGAAAGUUGUAGUACUUGACGAGACGAAGAGAUUGAUACCUAUCUCGACUCCUAACUCGCCGGGGAUUCGCCGGAAAACGCAUCGAAAGCUCCGGCCAAACUUUGAACUUGUCGAUCUCCGUGUUCUUACGUCCAAAAACUUCCAACGAAGCACUCCGAGCUUCCUUGGGACCUCACUAAGCUCGCUGUGAUCUUGUUUUAGCCUAAAUCGUAACCAUUUAAAAGAUCAUGAACAGUAUAUAAACACGGGACCUUAAAAACUAGGGUUUUCCGAAGCAAAACUUACCUGAAAAUGGUGUCUACGUGAUCGUGGAGUCCUCAGGGUUGCAAUGGUAGUCUUAACUUGGACGUUGGUAUAGGUUUUAGGUGGUUUUGGUGGUUGCCCGUGCGUUCGAGAAGAAGAGAGAGAGUGAGAGUUUCUGAGGAAGAGCUGAGGAAGAGAGAGAGAGUGACUGAGGAGAUGAGAGAGAGACAACAAACGGGAAAUGGGGAGGGAUUUAGGGUGUAGGACCCUACCUAAAGUCCAAACACAAAAUUAUUAGUCCAAGUUUAAGUUUAAUUAACAAUAACUUAGGAAUUUUAGGUAAAACCAAUACCAAAAUUACGCACCUUAAUCCCGUUUAAGGGCAUUUUCGUCUUUUCACGUCCUCGGAAUUAAAAUUCCAGGACGGGCUGUGACA